UACGAAGGGGGCUAGCGUUGCUCGGAAUCACUAGGGCGUAAAGCGCACGUAGGCGGAUUGUUAAGUCAGGGGUGAAAGUCCUGGAGCUCCAACUCCAGAACUGCCUUUGAUACUGACGGUCUUGAGUUCGGGAGAGGUGAGUGGAACUGCGAGUGUAGAAGGUGAAAUUCGUAGAUAUCGGGAGGAACACCGGUGGCGAAGGCGGCGACCUGGGUCGAGACUGACGGCUGAGGCGCGAAAGCGUGGGGAGCAAACAGG
rnacentral:rRNA from 1 species